rnacentral:rRNA from 1 species
AUGAAUACAUGCCAGAAUACAGGCCGUCUGGAACAUAAUCUUCAAUGGUUUAAACUCUACAACGUGUGUUUCGAAAAGGAGGACCAGGGGACAGAGCCCUAUGGUUGUUUCUCUCCUCGUGUUCGGGACAAUUCACUAUUAAUGUCUGCUUCUUCCGUUGUGUUGCCUCCCACUGUGGGCGAGUCCAUCGUCGGGCUUGCGGCUCCGGUGUUGCAACUCAUGCCCGAGCUUCGGGAUAUAUGUUCGAACCUUGCUUCGCCUUUGUCCUUGGAGCGAUUGGAGGUGGACUCAUCGCCGACUUUGUGUAAGGAACACGCUUCAUCUCUAUCAUGUGAGCAACUAAAGGCGCCGAAGUCGAUUGUGUCGAUGGUUCCUGUGGUGGAGGAUGUUGUGUCGGUGGUUCCUCGGGUCGAUGAUGUUGAUGUUGCUGGUCGGUUGGUGCCUGCUCCUAUGAGUCCCUUGGUUGACGACAACGACACCAAGAAAUUCAAUUAG